AUGGCAGAAUGCUUCAAUAAGGUGCUCAAGGGUGUGCGUGCAUUACCCGUGACGGCAAUAGUUCAAUACACAUUUGACAAGAUGAAUGGAUACUUUUUAAAGUACUCAAUGAAGACGGAUAAGCAGAUUGCUGGUGAGAACAAGGAUAAGCACAAGUACUAUUUCCCACCAAAGGUUGAAGAAUGGUUGGACUUUCAAUCACGAAAGGCAGACUCCCAAGAAGUUGUACUAUAUGACGACAACGAGUGGAAGUAUGAAGUGAAAGAGCCUGGAGGAACCACAAACGAUGGCCACCAACACGGAGGCCGCGCUUUCAAGGUCUCCCUAACACGGUGUGAUUGCAGCUGCAUGAGGCCAUCGUUGCUUCAUCUCACAUGCUCGCACUUGUUAAAUGCAUCCCGUGUUAGGAAUGUGGACGUCAAUCACCCUCUUACCGUGAGGGAGUCCGAGUUCUCAAUCAUGACGGUAAAGAAUACAUGGGCUCCCCGGUUUCAGCCAUACUUGGACCAAUCACAAUGGCCGGAGUAUCAUGGAGUUCAACUAUGGCCGGACCCGGAAUUGAAGGUCGUUAGACGGGGAAGACGUAAGACAAAGCGUCUUAGAGGUGACAUGGACGGAUGGGGCCGUGGUGGCGGUGGAGAAUACGGCACCGGCCAAUUCCAAGAGCCUAAAAUUGCAACGCAUUUACGGAGGAAAAGAAAGAGAAUGGAGGAGUUUACCUAG
rnacentral:rRNA from 1 species